UGAAGAGAUCUCUUGAGCAGAAGUUCCCCAGGCUUGCCUUCAUGCAGCCAUCUUGGCUCUGUGCUCGGGGAUGGGAGACUUUGCUCUCUUUUUCCCGUGUGAUCUUGGACGAGAUAUGUGGUUUCUUUGAAGUUCCUUAAAGGAGAGCUUGGCAGCUGGUGGGAUAGAACUCAGGACCUCAUGCUUGAGAAUAUACCUCCUUUAUUAUUUUUAGUAUUAGUUCUUAUCUAUGUAUGAGAGAGAAGAGGAGGAGGAGAAAGGGGAUGUGGCAGGGGAGGAGAGAUUGAAAAAUAGAGCACCAGAGCAUCACUCUGGCAUAUGUGGUGCCAGGGAUUGAAUUUAUCACAUGCUGGAGAGCCCAGUGGCUUAUCCACUGUGCCACAAUAAGAGAUUGCAGCUCUCUUCAUUAAAGAGCCCCCUCCCCCCUGCCCCUGCUUGAAGAAUCAGGAACAUCUUCAGUCACUGGUCUACAGCCAGAUGUGCUAGGGGUUUCUGGUUCCUUGGUAUUUGAGACAAAUAGAGGAAGACAACCCAGUUUGUCCUUCCUUCCUCCCUCCCUCCCUCCCUUCCUUCCUGCCUGCCUUCCUCCCUUCCUUUCACCCUUUCACCAGAGCACUGUUCUGGGAGAUUCAACCUGGGUCCUUUGGAGCCUCAGGCAUGAGAUUUUGCAGAGCUAUUAUGUUAUCUCUCUAGCUCUAUAGUUUAGAGUGAAAUACAGAGAGUGAGAAAGGGAGAGGAGACAGACAGACAGACAGACAGAAAGGAGAUGCACCACUUCACCUUCCAUGGAGUUCCCCAGGGCCACCCAGCUGCUCUUUAAGGCUCAGCUCAGCUAGGAAGCCCUAGCUGACUGCCAGUCCAGGUCAGGUACCUCUGGAGCAGGGAGGCCAGCUCAGACACCAAAUGCCUGGAGGGCUCUUAGGUGGAUGCAGGCAUCCUUCAUGCUUGACUUCUUGACCUGUAUGGUUAUUGGAUAUUUGCAGUGCUAGCUAGGCCAAGACUCUCCCACUUAGGGGAUGACUCCUCUUAGCCUCUGGCCACAGGUUUUCCUUCUGCCAGUUCCAGUCAGUGAUGGGUGUCUAAGGCACAGGCCCUAGUCUAGCUAGCUUCUGGCCACAGGUUAUACUGCUAAUUCCAAUGGAGGGUGGUAAAGUCAGCCUCCCACCGGGAGCUACCAGGAACAUUAAAAAAAAAAAAAAAAAAAAAAAAAACCAGGGCUUUACUUCCAUCUUUCCCUCAAACCAUCUCUGCCUCACUUUCCCCAUUUUCUUUUCAGUCUGCCUCUAACCCCCCACAUCAUGUUUAUUCACUCAGCUCUCAUAUUGGUGGUCCUAUUCCCUACUGACUCCACUGAAACUGGCAAUGAAAAGGUUUGGCAGAAAGCUUGGUUUUUCCCUCCUGAGAUUUCACUUGGUGGUUCAUUGAUUUGUGUAAAAAUAUAAAAAUGUCAGUGUUUCCUUUUU